rnacentral:rRNA from 1 species
AUUGAACGCUGGCGGCAUGCCUUACACAUGCGAGUCGAACGGCAGCACGGGAGCAAUCCUGGUGGCGAGUGGCGAACGGGUGAGUAAAGUAUCGGAGCGUGCCCAGUCGUGGGGGAUAACGUAGCGAAAGUUACGCUAAUACCGCAUACGAUCUAUGGAUGAAAGCGGGGGAUCGCAAGACCUCGCGCGAUUGGAGCGGCCGAUAUCAGAUUAGGUAGUUGGUGGGGUAAAGGCUCACCAAGCCGACGAUCUGUAGCUGGUCUGAGAGGACGACCAGCCAAACGGGGACUGAGACACGGCCCAGACUCCUACGGGAGGCAGCAGUGGGGAAUUUUGGACAAUGGGCGCAAGCCUGAUCCAGCCAUGCCGCGUGCAGGAUGAAGGCCUUCGGGUUGUAAACUGCUUUUGUACGGAACGAAAAGGUUUGACUUAAUACGUUGGACUCAUGACGGUACCGUAAGAAUAAGCACCGGCUAACUACGUGCCAGCAGCCGCCGUAA